AUGAGUAUCCUUAGUUGGAAUUGCUGGGGGCUUGGGAACCCUGAGGCAAUUCGAGAGCUUCGCAAUGUGGUGAAGCAAGAAGGGCCCAUCCUCAUCUUUGUCAUGGAAACAAAGGUAAGUGCUACAAGGGUGGAAAACCUGAAGUUCAGUUUAGGUUUUGAUGGAUGCUUUGCGGUGGACAGUGUGGGGCUGAGCUGAGGCAUCGGACUUUUUUGGUCCAAGGAUGUAUCAGUCAGCCUAACAAAUUAUAGUACCGGCCACAUUGAUGUUGUGGUGCGGAAACGGAUUCAAGGUGCAACGGAGUGGAGAUUCACCGGCUUCUAUGGCGCACCAAGAGCUGGUGAUCGCCACAACAGUUGGCGACUUCUACGUACCCUGCUCACAUCCCCUCAUGGAGCAUGGGUUUGCAUGGGAGACUUCAAUGAAACCCUGUAUGGGGAUGAACACUUCAGCCGGGCAGCCCGGCCAGAAUGGCAAAUGAGGGCGUUUUGUGAAGUGAUCGAAGAGCGUGCCUUCCAGGACCUGGGAUGGAUAGGCGUUCCUUAUACUUGGGAUAAUCGUCAGGCGGGAGUAGCUAACGUUAAAGCUCGCAUCGACCACGCCUUUGCCAAUGAGGCUUUCCGGCAACUGUACGGACACACCCUGAUGCGUCAUAUCAGUGCUGCGGAAUGA
rnacentral:rRNA from 1 species